rnacentral:rRNA from 1 species
GGCGCACGGGUGCGUAACGCGUAUGCAACCUACCCUGUACUGGGGGAUAGCCCGGAGAAAUUCGGAUUAAGACCCCAUAGUAUAUAUCAUUCGCAUGUUUGGUAUAUUAAAGGUUACGGUACAGGAUGGGCAUGCGUCCUAUUAGCUAGAUGGUGAGGUAACGGCUCACCAUGGCGACGAUAGGUAGGGGGCCUGAGAGGGUGGUCCCCCACACUGGUACUGAGACACGGACCAGACUCCUACGGGAGGCAGCAGUGAGGAAUAUUGGUCAAUGGGCGCAAGCCUGAACCAGCCAUGCCGCGUGCAGGAAGAAGGUCCUAUGGAUUGUAAACUGCUUUUAUUUGGGAAUAAACCUCUUUACGUGUAGAGAGCUGAAGGUACCAAAUGAAUAAGCACCGGCUAACUCCGUGCCAGCAGCCGCGGUAAUACGGAGGGUGCAAGCGUUAUCCGGAAUCAUUGGGUUUAAAGGGUCCGCAGGCGGACUUAUAAGUCAGUGGUGAAAGCCCAUCGCUUAACGAUGGAACUGCCAUUGAUACUGUAAGUCUUGAAUUCGGUCGAAGUGGGCGGAAUGUGACAUGUAGCGGUGAAAUGCUUAGAUAUGUCACAGAACACCGAUAGCGAAGGCGGCUCACUAGGCCUGGAUUGACGCUCAUGGACGAAAGCGUGGGGAGCAAACAGGAUU